rnacentral:rRNA from 1 species
GGGUUGUGAGGUUAAGCGACUAAGCGUACACGGUGGAUGCCCUGGCAGUCAGAGGCGAUGAAGGGCGUGCUAAUCUGCGAUAAGCGCCGGUAAGGUGAUAUGAACCGUUAUAACCGGCGAUACCCGAAUGGGGAAACCCAGUGUGACUCGUCACACUAUCAUUAACUGAAUCCAUAGGUUAAUGAGGCGAACCGGGGGAACUGAAACAUCUAAGUACCCCGAGGAAAAGAAAUCAACCGAGAUUCCCCCAGUAGCGGCGAGCGAACGGGGAGGAGCCCAGAGCCUGAAUCAGCAUGUGUGUUAGUGGAAGCGUCUGGAAAGGCGCGCGAUACAGGGUGACAGCCCCGUACACAAAAGCGCAUGUGCUGUGAGCUCGAUGAGUAGGGCGGGACACGUGGUAUCCUGUCUGAAUAUGGGGGGACCAUCCUCCAAGGCUAAAUACUCCUGACUGACCGAUAGUGAACCAGUACCGUGAGGGAAAGGCGAAAAGAACCCCGGCGAGGGGAGUGAAAAAGAACCUGAAACCGUGUACGUACAAGCAGUGGGAGCCCCACCACCAAAGCAUUUGCUGUACCGCGUUGACGGAGCGAAGCGACGUCAAACCGAUAAAACAGCAGUGUAAAGUGAGCCGCAGGGCGCUUUGCGCGACAGCGCAAAGGCAG